AAGCUUCAUCUUAGAAGCAGAUGACAAUUUCGCAGCAGCCAAACGACGUCUUCAGCAAUUCGAGCGGCAACAAUCGAUUCUAAACGGCAGUGGCGAGCGACGUCAACAAUUCCAAUAGCAAUUGGUUGGAUUGGUAUGAGAAUCAAGCAUAUUCCUCUGUCCUGGGAGGAAUUUUUUAUUUUCAAAUUCGAAAUGGUGGCGAGAUAGAUGAGGAGAGACAUUGCUAUGCUUCUUGAAUCCAUUUUCGUAUGCCACUACUCGUAUUCAAGAUGUAGGUUUAUGGUUGGAAGAAAUAAAGCUUGGAAGCUAUCGUCAAAUUUUCUAAGAAAAUGGUGUUAAUGGAGAGUAUUUGGAGGGGAUGUCCUGUUUCUUUUAAUUUUUGAUCUAUUAUCACUGUUUCAUUAUUUCAUUUGAGUUUAGUUUGUUCAAAAUAGGAUGAUUAAUCUAGAAACUAUUCAUGCUUA